UACGUAGGGUGCGAGCGUUAAUCGGAAUUACUGGGCGUAAAGCGUGCGCAGGCGGUUCGUUGUGUCGGCGGUGAAAGCCCCGGGCUCAACCUGGGAAUGGCCGUUGAAACUGGCGAACUGGAGUGUGGCAGAGGGGGGUGGAAUUCCGCGUGUAGCAGUGAAAUGCGCAGAUAUCAGGAGGAACACCAGUGGCGAAGGCGGUGGUCUGGGCCGGAACUGACGCUGUAGAGCGAAAGCGUGGGGAGCGAACAGG
rnacentral:rRNA from 1 species